rnacentral:rRNA from 1 species
CGCUUGCUUACACUGCAAGUCGAACGGUAACAGGGUGCUGCACCGCUGACGAGUGGCGAACGGUGAGUAUGCGUCGGAAUGUACCGUGUAAUGGGGGAUAGCUCGGCGAAAGCCGGAUUAAUACCGCNUACGCCUGAGGGGGAAAGCGGGGGAUCGAAAGACCUCGCGUUAUACGAGCAGCCGACGUCUGAUAGCUAGUUGGUGAGGUAAGAGCUCACCAGGGCGACGAUCAGUAGCGGGUCUGAGAGGAUGAUCCGCCACACUGGGACUGAGACACGGCCCAGACUCUACGGGAGGCAGCAGUGGGGAAUUUUGGACAAUGGGGGCAACCCUGAUCCAGCCAUGCCGCGUGUCUGAAGAAGGCCUUCGGGUUGUAAAGGACUUUUGUCAGGGAGGAAAUCCCGCUGGUUAAUACCCGGCGGGGAUGACAGUACCUGAAGAAUAAGCACCGGCUAACUACGUGCCAGCAGCCGCGGUAAUACGUAGGGUGCGAGCGUUAAUCGGAAUUACUGGGCGUAAAGCGUGCGCAGGCGGUUGUGCAAGUCUGAUGUGAAAGCCCCGGGCUUAACCUGGGAACGGCAUUGGAGACUGCACAGCUAGAGUGCGUCAGAGGGGGGUAGAAUUCCACGUGUAGCAGUGAAAUGCGUAGAGAUGUGGAGGAAUACCGAUGGCGAAGGCAGCCCCCUGGGAUGACACUGACGCUCAUGCACGAAAGCGUGGGGAGCAAACAGGAUUAGAUACCCUGGUAGUCCACGCCCUAAACGAUGUCAACUAGCUGUUGGGGGUUUGAAUCCUUGGUAGCGUAGCUAACGCGUGAAGUUGACCGCCUGGGGAGUACGGCCGCAAGGUUAAAACUCAAAGGAAUUGACGGGGACCCGCACAAGCGGUGGAUGAUGUGGAUUAAUUCGAUGCAACGCGAAAAACCUUACCUGCUCUUGACAUGUACGGAACUUGCCAGAGAUGGCUUGGUGCCCGAAAGGGAGCCGUAAC